GUUGCACUGCAACGUUGGUGACUGCCAUAAAGUUUUUUGAUCUAUGUCCGAAAAAAAAUGGGAACCAAACAAUUCUCGUGGCAGUAGACCGGGCUAAGUACCCGGAAACUUUAAACGAGGAACAUCGGUGCCCACCUGGUUUAUCCAGGUCAUAAACUUAGGUAAAACGGCGUUGCGGUGGACUA
rfam:Scytonema millei VB511283 scaffold_176, whole genome shotgun sequence.